rnacentral:rRNA from 1 species
UACAGAGGGGGCAAGCGUUGUUCGGAAUUACUGGGCGUAAAGGGCGCGUAGGCGGCCUGCUAAGUCGAACGUGAAAUCCCCGGGCUCAACCCGGGAACUGCGUUCGAGACUGGCGGGCUUGAAUCCGGGAGAGGGAUGCGGAAUUCCAGGUGUAGCGGUGAAAUGCGUAGAUAUCUGGAGGAACACCGGUGGCGAAGGCGGCAUCCUGGACCAUAACUGACGCUGAGGCGCGAAAGCUAGGGGAGCAAACAGG